rnacentral:rRNA from 1 species
GUGCAAUGGGGCAGCUAUACAUGCAGUCGAGCGGAGUUGAUAGGAAGCUUGCUUCCUUGAUGCUUAGCGGCGGACGGGUGAGUAACACGUAGGCAACCUGCCCUCAAGCUUGGGACAACUACCGGAAACGGUAGCUAAUACCGAAUACUUGUUUUCUUCGCCUGAAGAGAACUGGAAAGACGGAGCAAUCUGUCACUUGAGGAUGGGCCUGCGGCGCAUUAGCUAGUUGGUGAGGUAACGGCUCACCAAGGCGACGAUGCGUAGCCGACCUGAGAGGGUGAUCGGCCACACUGGGACUGAGACACGGCCCAGACUCCUACGGGAGGCAGCAGUAGGGAAUCUUCCGCAAUGGGCGAAAGCCUGACGGAGCAAUGCCGCGUGAGUGAUGAAGGUUUUCGGAUCGUAAAGCUCUGUUGCCAGGGAAGAACGCUUGGGAGAGUAACUGCUCUCAAGGUGACGGUACCUGAGAAGAAAGCCCCGGCUAACUACGUGCCAGCAGCCGCGGUAAUACGUAGGGGGCAAGCGUUGUCCGGAAUUAUUGGGCGUAAAGCGCGCGCAGGCGGUCAUUUAAGUCUGGUGUUUAAUCCCGGGGCUCAACCCCGGAUCGCACUGGAAACUGGGUGACUUGAGUGCAGAAGAGGAGAGUGGAAUUCCACGUGUAGCGGUGAAAUGCGUAGAGAUGUGGAGGAACACCAGUGGCGAAGGCGACUCUCUGGGCUGUAACUGACGCUGAGGCGCGAAAGCGUGGGGAGCAAACAGGAUUAGAUACCCUGGUAGUCCACGCCGUACACGAUGAAUGCUAGGUGUUAGGGGUUUCGAUACCCUUGGUGCCGAAGUUAACACAUUAAGCAUUCCGCCUGGGGAGUACGGUCGCAAGACUGAAACUCAAAGGAAUUGACAGGGACCCGCACAAGCAGUGGAGUAUGUGGUUUAAUUCGAAGCAACGCGAAGAACCUUUACCAGGUCUUGACAUCCCUCUGACCGGUGCUAGAGAUACUCCUUUUCCUUCGGACAGAGAGACAGUGUGCAUGAUGGUCGUCAGCUCGUGUCGUGGAGAUGGUGGUUAGGUCCCGCACGAGCGCACCUUGAAUCUAGUGCAGCACUCGGUGGCACUCUAAGUGAACUGCGGUACAACUGAGAAGUGGGCAUGACGUCAUUCAUCAGUGCGCCUA